rnacentral:rRNA from 1 species
UACGGAGGAUGCAAGCGUUAUCCGGAUUUAUUGGGUUUAAAGGGUGCGCAGGUUGUUUGAUAAGUCAGUGGUGAAAGUCUGUCGCUUAACGGUAGGAUUGCCAUUGAUACUGUUAGACUUGAAUAUGGAUGAGGUAGGCGGAAUGUGUAGUGUAGCGGUGAAAUGCAUAGAUAUCACGAGGAACUCCGAUUGCGCAGGCAGCUUACUAAACCAUAACUGACGCUCAGGCACGAAGGCGUGGGGAUCAAACAGGA